UACGUAGGGGGCUAGCGUUAUCCGGAAUUACUGCGCGUAAAGGGUGCGUAGGUGGUUUCUUAAGUCAGAGGUGAAAGGCUACGGCUCAACCGUAGUAAGCCUUUGAAACUGAUGAACUUGAGUGUAGGAGAGGAAAGUGGAAUUCCCAGUGUAGCGGUGAAAUGCGUAGAUAUUGGGAGGAACACCAGUGGCGAAGGCGACUUUCUGGACUACAACUGACGCUGAGGCACGAAAGCGUGGGGAGCAAACAGGAUUAGAUACCCGGGUAGUCCCUGAGCGGG
rnacentral:rRNA from 1 species